CAUUAGAUAACUUAAAGCAAGUAUUGGUCUCUUAAACCACAUAAUAGUAAAGUAGCGCUUACUUCUAAUGA
rnacentral:tRNA from 1 species